CCCUGGGAAUUACAAGAUGGGUGAGAUAGAGAACAGUGAAGAGGAGGAGGAGGAGGAAGAUGACAAGGAGGACAUUCUCCCACCUGAUAAAAGUAUCCGAAGGAGAGCUGUGGACUGGGUGAAUAAGAAGUGGGAGAAGAGGAACCUCAAAAAGAUCGAGAGAACGUAUCAGAGAGAGGCUGAGGAGGGCUAUAAGAUCGUCCACAUAGGUAAGACCUGUUUUACCUCUGCUUAUGACAUCAUCCUCUUUAGUCUCCUCUACACACAUAAGUUCCACACCAGUCAUCAUGUUGCAUCAUUGUUUCAAUAUAAAACUACUGUCCAAAGAAUAUGUUAGCUGACAUGGCUAAUUGAGUGACUGACUGACAUAACAAGAAAAAUACUGCUGAUGUAACAACCACGUUUUUAAAUGAUACCUUAUGUCAUCUACUAGUCUAACUCUCAAGACUAAGUAGAGACCCAGAAAGAGUUCCUAAAAAACACACACAAAAAAGGCUUUUGGGGGGGUCGGGGGGCCCCUAGUUGCCAUGGAGCCCUAAGCUAUCACAUAGGCCCUGGCUCUAUACAAGGAAUAGGUGCCAUUUGGGACUCAUGUUCAACUUAGGGUCAGGUCAAUUCGGGAUGGGAAUUAUUGCACUUCAUUGACAAAUUCUAUGCCUUGCUCAAUUGAAAAGAUUAAAGAAUCCUUGAGAUCAAAUUGUGUUUUCUAUUCUUAAUUCCCUGUGUCCAUUACAUUUAAGUUGAUACCAGAUCCACUAAGUUGAAUGUGAAUUCUACUUCUUCUCCCCUCCCAGCCAUCCCUGGACACACAAGGCUAACAUCCACCAUGACCCGGGCAGAGAGAGAGAGGGAGAAGAGGAAGGAGCUGCUGAAGGAUGAGGAGAGAAGGAAGAAGUUGGAGGAUUUCAAUAAGCAGUGGAGAGAGCAGUCCCUGCUUAAAAAAAGGACUCAUCAGAAACUGAAGGAUGAGAGGGAGAGGAUGAAGGAAAAAUUCCUGGAACAGAUGAAUCUGGAGGCUGAUGCUCAAAUCAACACCCGGUGUCCAACCACCCAACACAGCCACGAUUCCAACCACGGUCAGGCAUUGCCCGGAUGGGCCACAGGCCAACAGGUAAGCCAAGAGCCUGUUGGAUCUGGAGAUGGCCAGCAGGAGGGGCCAAGGAGGCAGCAGGCAUGGGCAGAGAACCAGGAGUGGAGUUCAGAGAACCAGCAGGAGUGGAGUUCAGAGAACCAGCAGGAGUGGCCAGAGAACCAGCAGGAGUGGCCAGAGAACCAGCAGGAGUGGCCAGAGAACCAGCAGGAGUGGCCAGAGAACCAGCAGGAGUGGCCAGAGAACCAGCAGGAGUGGCCAGAGAACCAGCAGGAGUGGCCAGAGAACCAGCAGGAGUGGCCAGAGAACCAGCAGGAGUGGCCAGAGAACCAGCAGGAGUGGCCAGAGAACCAGGAGGGGAUGUCAGAGAACCAGCAGGAGUGGCCAGAGAACCAGCAGGAGUGGCCAGAGAACCAGCAGGAGUGGAGUUCAGAGAACCAGCAGGAGUGGCCAGAGAACCAGCAGGAGUGGCCAGAGAACCAGCAGGAGUGGCCAGAGAACCAGCAGGAGUGGCCAGAGAACCAGCAGCUGGAAGCUCCAGAAGAGGCUGAAACAUCAGAGCCAACCUCCAAGAACAAGAAAAGGCCAAGCAUCUGGAAGAGAAUUAAGAUGAGCAUUCCUGACGUGCUGUCUGCCUAGAGCUGGAACUCGAUGAAGCCACAUUUCCUCCACAAAACAUUAUAUUCUCCUCAAGCCAGAAAGUGUCCUCUUUAUCAAGGCAACAAACCAUCUAAGGUCAGUGACUCUCCUCCCCAGAGCAGAGUUUCUCAUCUUUAUCCAAGUUGAAUUCAUCACUGCUCACCACCUCUACUGUCCUAGAAAAUAUCCCAAAUGGACAUGGUUUAAACAGAAGUCCUCCCCUCAGACCAGUGGCUCCACAGACCAGAGUUUCUCAUCUUUAUUCAAGUUGAAUGCAACUCUGAUCAUUUCCACCACCUCACCUGUUAAGGGGAGGUGCUGAAAAGGAGGUCUGGGAGGAGGUCUGCAGGUAGCCUGGACCGGACCGGUAGCAGCUAAGUUGCUGGCUCCAUCCCCGGGCAGAGCUGCUCAAGUCAGGCCAGUGAUGUUUGAUGAUGUCAUUUUUGAUAGCAAAGUUUUACGCUUUAAUAAAAGCAGUUAUUAAAAAAGCAGUAUUGUUGUUACGGUGUGGAUUGUUUUGUAUUUUAUUAGAAUUGAAACAUCCAGUAGUCAUGGUAGAUGUUAGACUUUCAAUGAGACACCUAACAUUCCAUCAGUCUGACACAAUGCGUGACAUGUUAUAUUAGAGAGGAGUCCUCUAUACACAUAAAUUGCACUAUAACGGUG
rnacentral:lncRNA from 8 species